rnacentral:rRNA from 1 species
GACGAACGCUGGCGGCGUGCUUAACACAUGCAAGUCGAACGGUAAGGCCCUUCGGGGUACACGAGUGGCGAACGGGUGAGUAACACGUGGGUGAUCUGCCCUGCACUUCGGGAUAAGCCUGGGAAACUGGGUCUAAUACCGGAUAGGACCCUGGGAUGCAUGUCCUGGGGUGGAAAGCUUUUGCGGUGUGGGAUGGGCCCGCGGCCCAUCAGCUUGUUGGUGGGGUGAUGGCCUACCAAGGCGACGACGGGUAGCCGGCCUGAGAGGGUGACCGGCCACACUGGGACUGAGAUACGGCCCAGACUCCUACGGGAGGCAGCAGUGGGGAAUAUUGCACAAUGGGCGCAAGCCUGAUGCAGCGACGCCGCGUGAGGGAUGACGGCCUUCGGGUUGUAAACCUCUUUCAGCACCGACGAAGCGCGAGUGACGGUAGGUGCAGAAGAAGGACCGGCCAACUACGUGCCAGCAGCCGCGGUAA